GUGCUCACUUCAGCAGCACAUGUACUAAAACUGCGAUGAUACAGAGGUGAGCAUGGCCCCCGCGCCAGCAUUGUGUGCAAAUUUGCAAAGCGUUCCCUAUUUUU
rfam:Otolemur garnettii contig021283, whole genome shotgun sequence.